GGUGGAAGAUGCGAAGAAACUCGCCACCGACCAGUCUUCACCGCCAUCACCGCCAUAGCUGACCGCCGAUCAAAUUCUGUUUUCUGACAUGGAUGUUCACCUAUCAGCUAUUUUCUCUAAAUCACCACCAUAAUUUCUUUUGCAGAAAUCUCCCGAUGUGUAGAACACUAGAUCCAUAAACCAACAAAAUUGAAGCGCCAGAAAAGAUGAAAAGGGAAGAGAUUAGAUCCAGUCGCAAAACACGCUCUUCUGAAUCCGUCUUCACCAGCCAUCAA